rnacentral:rRNA from 1 species
CCUACGGGUGGCAGCAGUGAGGAAUAUUGGUCAAUGGACGAGAGUCUGAACCAGCCAAGUAGCGUGAAGGAUGACUGCCCUAUGGGUUGUAAACUUCUUUUAUAUGGGAAUAAAAUGUUCCACGUGUGGGAUUUUGUAUGUACCAUAUGAAUAAGGAUCGGCUAACUCCGUGCCAGCAGCCGCGGUAAUACGGAGGAUCCGAGCGUUAUCCGGAUUUAUUGGGUUUAAAGGGAGCGUAGGUGGAUUGUUAAGUCAGUUGUGAAAGUUUGCGGCUCAACCGUAAAAUUGCAGUUGAAACUGGCAGUCUUGAGUACAGUAGAGGUGGGCGGAAUUCGUGGUGUAGCGGUGAAAUGCUUAGAUAUCACGAAGAACUCCGAUUGCGAAGGCAGCUCACUGGACUGCAACUGACACUGAUGCUCGAAAGCGCGGGUAUCGAACAGGAUUAGAUACCCCAGUAGUC